UACGAAGGGGACUAGCGUUAUUCGGAAUCAUUGGGCUUAAAGCGCGUGUAGGCGGAUUCGUGCGUCUGUCGCUGAAAUCCCCCGGCUCAACCGGGGAACGGGCGCGGAUACGACGAGUCUGGAGGGGCAUAGGGGGACCUGGAACUUCCGGUGGAGCGGUGAAAUGCGUUGAGAUCGGAAGGAACGCCCGUGGCGAAAGCGAGGUCCUGGAUGCCUACUGACGCUGAGACGCGAAAGCCAGGGGAGCGAACGGG
rnacentral:rRNA from 1 species